AGGCCCAGGGAUGGCAUGCUGCUGUUUCUGAGCAGUGCUGGCGAUGAGCUAGAGGGGUUUUGAUGAGAUUCGACACCAGGUGCUCCUCAUUACGUCUCGGCAACACUGUGCCACACUGGGCAAGAAGUGUGUUUCUUCUUCUUCCACUGAGCAGGAGACAGCUGAACUGUCCAACAGACAACUCGGUGCUUUCCUGCAGCUUUGCUACCAGCUUUUGAAAGUAAUGCGAUCUUUCUGCAAUCUUUUAGGGAUAUCCACCUCCUAUAUUUGGGUUUAGAGUACACAUUUAAGGUGACCCGUUCAUCUGAUAGUACACCCAGGUGCUGCAUUUACUGAUUUCUCUGCCAUCAAGAAGCUGAACCACAAAUCUCCAGACAUCUGUCAUCACUAACAGAAGGGCACAAAUAUUAAAAUGGAAACCAUAAAGUUAAAUACAUCAAAGAUACAACCAGAGGAGAAAUAUGAGAUCCUUCUGUAGCAGGCGUAACUCAUUCUCAUUGCCAAUUCAAAAUCAGCCAUAGCAGGAGAAUUUAAUGAUACCAUUGUUUAGAGAAAUUAGACAUGACACUAGCCAGUUACCUUCCAUUUUGGUCAGUUAGGAUUUGUUGUUGUUUGACACUCAUUAGAAAUCACAGUAACCUGCUUUCAGGGCAGUCAAAUUAAGGUUUCCUCUCCCUGUACGAGAUUACUCAUCACACCACAGCUACAGGAUAAUUGGAAAAUAACUAGUGAAUGAGUACACCUUACAGAAGCUGUCAUCUGAGCAUGUCAGUAUCGUACCUGAUAUGAUCCUGUAAAGAAUUUGGUUGUACACACAGCACCUAAGAAAAAACGGUUGUAGGAAAUUAAUGCUACAAUAACUUAUCAAAUGCAAAAAUAAUGACUAAUCCUUAAUCUUUCUGAUUAUUUCUUUACAGAAAUUCAUCUGCCCUUUUGUUUCCUUUAGUGCCUCCGGCAUGAGAACACACCUGAGGUUCUACCUGAGCCUCAGCCCAGCUAUUCUUUGUUCUGAGAGCUACAGUGCUUGCUGGGAAGUUUGAGAGGCUUUGUAGUGGUUGUGCUCACAUUAGCAAGCAGCAAGGUGCAGCAGAUCUGGGGAAUGCAGCAUUUGGUGCCGAUCUGCUAUGUGCAUUUUGGGGGGAUCCACUAGCUAUGAUUGGAACAUUCAGUAGCAACUGGGACAGCUAGGUGAAUUUUUGGAGCACAUCUUGUCAUUUAGUUUUGUCUGAAAGGAAUCUAGUUCUGCAGCGUGGACCUACAUGCAGUAAGGUCAGAAGGGCUGUCCUAGCCUUAAGUAAAACACAAGCCCAUACAAAUGGAGAGGAGUCUGGAGGAAGCCCAUCAGACCUGCAUCUCAUUGCUGGAAAUGGCUAAGGAAAGUUAACCUGAACAUGCACAGCCUGUUUUGUUUUUUUUUUUUCCUAACGUGUUUGCUCUGAAAUGCAUUUUGUUCCAGGGAAGUUCUGCUUUGCAAUCAGGAAGUUGCUUGUUCUGUGAUGAGCACUGCUGCUGCCCCAGAGGGAGGGGAUGGCAGUGUCUGGACGGACUUCAGAUCUACUGAACGAACUUGCUUUUGGUACCCCACCCAAGAUCCAGUCUACAACUGGAAAAGUUGCCUGGUUCCCACUGUAGACUUAGAUUUAGGAGCCAGGAGGUGAUGUGCAUGUGGGGCAUGUCAGACUGGUAGUGUAGUUCAGGUGUAGUGGCGGUGUAGUUCACCCUGCAGCUGUGACAAGUUUCCAGCCUCCCGUAGCAGGAAGAUGUUCAGGUAGGUUUAGCAUUACCAGUUUAUUCUCUUCAAUGCAUUCUUUUUCACUUUAAUUGGAAAAUACACUCCUUGUAUCACACUGCCCAACUCUGCGUGUUCCCUGCGUAUUCAAACAGAAGAUGAAUUCUCAUUUUUGACAGUUCAGCUUACAAAACUGAGAGAGAGAGAGAGAGAAGAAAGACCCUUCUGCAUCAGUGUGAUGAUUGAUCACUUUUUAUUUUUGCUCCGAUGCCAGAUCUGGAUUUGAAAUAGAAAAGUAAUAGACUGUUUCAUGGAGUUACGUGGGGAGGGGGCCCUGGAGGAGGAAUGCAGAGUGCUGUUAGUCAGGGCUGGAGAGAUCAGACAGGCACCAGGAGAACAAAAGCCGCCCCUGUUAGAGAUCUGGGAGCUGGUGCUGGAUGGAGCGGGGCCUCCUGCUGCUCACUGCUCACUGUUGCUGUGGCCAGGCUGGCAUCACUGUGCAGGGAGAAAUGCAGGCAAAGUGCUAAUCUAUCGAAACAGAAGGACAGACUUAGCUUGAGAAGAUGAGCAUGCUGAGCUGAUUUCUGCUCUGUUACACCAUGAAACCUCACUGAUGUCUGUAGAGCUCCCCAGCUGUAACUAAGAGCAGACAGGGGUUCUUUAUGCAUUUUCUCCAGAGCCAAAAUGGUGAGGAUUUUGUGAGAACUGGAGAAAUUGAUACUGAGAUUUUCAGCUCUGCAGGAGGGAAUCUCUGUUUGCUUAAUUUGUGAAGAGACGGUCGUAUAACUUACAGGACAAAAAGCUUAAGCAGUGCAAGCAUCCCCCAGAGUGUAGUGCAGGGUUGGAGGCAGCUAGCAAAAUCUUUCAGGCUGCCCAAGUCUUCUUGCAAUGCUUCCUUCACUCCCUCAAAUACAGAGAAACAGUCACCCCAAAUGUGUUGUGCAAGAGCACGGCGCUGGGACCAGCUGGGCUUAAAACAACCCUGUUUUGUCUAGCUGCCUAUAAAAUUUCUCCCAAAAGGCAAAUGAAAGAGUGGCUUCUGGAAAACAGUUAAUCCCAUAAUUUCACCUCGUUCUCUAGCAAGUGCUUCCAUUACUAAAUGGCCUUCACUUGUUUCUGUUGGGUGUUCUUUCAAGGUGAAAUUUCUCAUUUCCAGCUUUUUGCAGUUGUCUUAGAAAAGGCACCACGGUAUCCCUCUCCCACAGUAGCCCCACAGUUGCCUUUCCCCAUAAGAGUGCCCAUAGCAGAAAUCAGAUCCCUUCUCAGCUACAUCUUUGGUGAGCCAGCAGGACUGGGCUCCUGCAGAAGCACGCAGCACACAGCUCCUGGGUCAUUCUUUUCUCUUUGCCUGACUUCUUUAUUAUCUCUUUCUCCUUACAGGAUGGUACAGAGACUGGACGCAGCUUUCCAGAAGUCACUGGUGCCAUGAACAAGAAGGAAUGCUCGCUGUUGGUGCCUGCCCUUUCUGUGGAGGGAUCAGAGGAGUCCUUCUAUGCAAUCUGUGCUUGUCCUCUAAAUUCUCUUCAAGGCAACUGCUUUCCGAGGCUGCAUCCUUUCCCAACACAACUGUGAGCAAUACCCUGAACGGAGCGCUGCAACUUCAGGUGGAGAAAAGCAACAGAAGCAGAUGGGCUGGUAAACAGCAGAGCUGGCUGCCCCACAGAGGGCCGUGCAGAGCAGAGAGGAGCAGAACGCAGGGAGACUACUGCAGAUCCCAUGGAUUGCAACAGUCCCAGGGAAAAGAGACCUAUGAAAGAUGGCUCCAGAUGUUUUACCUAAUAAAUCAAGGAGUCUCAUCAGAGGAUUGAAUCCAAAAGCUGUUACCAUGACUUCAAAGGCACAGAGUGGAGCAGAAAGAAGCAGCGCGGACAUUUUCUACCAGUCUGCAGUCACUGAUGGUGAAAAUAUACUCUGGUUCCAGGUUUUUUUUCUGUGGGAACCAAAACUCCACCUCGAUUAAAUAAAAUGGUGCCGUGCCCCCAGUCAACAUCUGCUGGAAAAGAAUCCAGGAUGCUGACGCCCAGCAAACUGUCACGGCUGCCUGGGAUUGGUGACAUCUCGAGUGACACGUGUUGGAUCGUCAGAUCAGAGUGGGAGCAGCACAGCUUUGGGAGCCUAAAAAUAGGUUGCUCAGUCCUGCGUCCAAGAGAGUCAGAGAGCACUGAUGGGGGUGAGGAGCUGAACUUCUGUGAACCAGGAAGAAACGCUAGCAAACUUGUGCUGAUUUUGGAGAUGCACAAAAUUUGCAAGAGGUUAGAAAUGAUUUUACAAUAAAAUUUAUGCCGAAUGAUUCAAGGCGUAGCUCUGCUUUCAAACUAGAAGCUGCUGGGAACAGAAGCUUGUUUCUCUCCUUAGCAAAACAGGGCUGAAUCACUGCUGCUACCCUCUGCAAGGAGACUUCCUCACUAUCCUCUCCGAGCUCCAUAACCAUGCACUCCUCUGGACUUUUGCAGCAGCAGCACGGCUCCCUGCCUUUCUUGGCCUCCAUUCCUCCAGGAAAAAUAAACAAAUCCAGUAUCUCUUCCAUGAAGAAUCCAUUACGUUUUAUAGAAAUUCCUUCACAGUGUUUGCAAGGGUGAUGAGAUUCGGAGUAGCAUUCCAGUUGCAGGAAGCAGACCUAAAACUCUGGCUUGAAAGGGAUACCUGAGAAGCUAUGGACAAAUCAGUCGCACUACAGCUGAACUCUGUCCCGGUCCACAUCUAUAAUCUAAUGUCAGUAUUCUUCCCUGUUUCUGCAGAUCAUCAUCCCAGCCUUCACUACAUCUUACUAAUGACGUGUGCCAUUGUUUCUGAACUCUUAAAUUACCCGACUGAAGUAAUUUUGUUCAUCUUUACAGUGCUGCCACAAGUUUCCGUGACUUCUCUGACUUCAGUUUUUGCAAUUUCAAAUAGAAAUACUUCAGUCAGUAUUCACAACAGGGGCUCCUGGAAUCAUUAUGUAUACAUAUAUCUCUCCAGUUUUAAAUAUCUAGAGUAGGAAAGUGAGAUAGAAGCCAUCUGUGAGUGACCUCCAACAGCACUAGAGACGUACAGGGGCUGAAGUUAUCAAUUGUACCUUUCCUUGGUUCGUUUUUCCUUCUGCCUUCUCUGAGGAAAGGGCUUGCUUUUACUGAGUGGUUGUACAGUGCCUAAUACAAUAGGACCAACCUCAGGUAAGACCUUUAGGCACUCCCAUUAUAUGAAUGAGAACAAGAUUGUUGGUGUCAGUAAUUAACAUUCUUGUGGGAUUGUUGGAAAUGCUUUGGGAUAAACACCACCUGGAAUCCUUGCCUGGCUUAUGUGGUUUUUAAGCUGCAGAGGAGGCUGAUCCUGUUCACAUGAGGGGGCAUGGACCCUCUGUCUCUCCUCUUUUUGGGCACAGAAAGAGUCUUUCAGUCCAAAAAUGCAAUACAGAACCUCAGUGAGAAGGGGGAGGCCUGGAAAAGUGAGGGUGUUGCCAACAGGGAAGAAAAAUGGGGAUCGGUUAGCAGCGUGGCCCCAUUAAAGGUCUCACUUAAAGAAAAAAAUCCUAUGACAGUCACCAAAACAGAGAGAACAGUACUGAACUGUGUGCAACUGAUGACACAGUGAAUGCCUGUGGUGCAGGGUCAUCCCAUGGCAGGCUUCCAGAGAUGAAUCUUGCUCUGGUUAAGCAGAUGGCAGAACUCCCCUUGAUUGCACUUAAUGCUUGGCUUUGCCUCUGGUGUUACCUGCAUUUCUCUGCCUCUGAGCGCCCAGACAGCCGCAUCCCACAUCAUUAUGCAAUUCUGAUAACCAAGAAAUUGUGCUCUACAGUGUGGAUUGGAUUCAGUAAGCCUUGCAUUUUGGAUUCUUGGUUUCCUCUAUCUGCACCUGAAAUCCCUGAGUAAACAAACAUAGGAUUAGAUCUCAACAGCUCCUUAGCAGACCAAGCCAUUAAAAGCAUUUCACACCAGCUGCUCCGCUCCCAUUUCGGACUCUAUUAAACACCAAGUCAAGCAAAGGAGUUCACUCUUCCUUCCAGACUUCUGGGAAACAACUGAUCGUGGUGACUAUGGAAUGUUUGCCUCCAUUUGUGACCCCCUCCAGUGAGGAGCUGGAAUUAUCUGGCCGUUGACAUCAGGAACGACGUUAAUAUGUGCUAGAGUUAGAGGCCUUCUGGCAAACAGCCUACUAACCUAGAAUUUGCUCUGCAGUGUCAGGAGUAUGACUUCUAACCUUGGAGCAGCUUGCAAAACCACAUCUGUGAACAAUAAAUAUGAAAAACAGAAAAAAAAUAUCUAGUCCCUGUUGAACAAUGAAAGAGAGCCCAUCGUGCUAGACUCUGCAGUGAUCAGUACGGCAAGCUAUGCAGGCACAAUCAAACUGUUUGCCAAAAGUCUGUGGUUGUAACUCCUACCCAAGGGAUGCAGCACAGCAGAUUAAUCUUAGGGUGAGUAUCUCACAGAUGUAAGUCUUAAACUUAAUGAGCCAGGUCCUUAUUUACGCUGCAGUUCCUUCUUACCCCAAAAUUACCUCUUCCAGCUGCUUGAGGAUGUCCAGUAAUGGGAAAUUCUCUUAAUCAGGAUUACAAUUCUGUGCUAACUCAAGUCCUGCGUAGCAAUAGAGAGAUUAUGUCCAGAGAGGCGGACGUAAUGUAGAGUGCAGCUGAACCACUGAAUUUUAAUUUUAUUGCUCUUCUUGUUGGUAACAGCCAGCACAGUGCAACUCACAGCAGCUUGAGAGUGCUUCCAGAUCUCACCGGGAGUCAGAAAGGUUCAGUGCUAGCCUCAGGGAGUCACAAAAGGUCAGAGAAACUGUCUUUGUUCUGUAACCUUAUUUCUGCACCAAAAAACAGUAGCUUGGCUUUAAACGAGGAAAAACCUCAAGCAAAAGAAAGAAAUUUAAUCACUGAAAUUAAGGUCUUCCUCCAGAUCUCCCUCUGGAGAGUACUCUCUGUCUCUGUUGAUCACACACGAGCGCAGUGUCAACGUUUGAGUGACAGCAUUAAAUCUUGGUUAUAAGGCUUAGAUAUCUCCAAGAGGAGAAAUACAUUUUCCACUCUACAGUUUAGAACUAGCUGAGGCAGGUGAGGUAAAAAAAACUUUCUUCCACUGUUACCAAAGAAGGGAGUUGUUUAUGCGUAGAUAUUACACAUCUGCAGCCUAGAGAUGUUUUUUGCUCCUUAAAUCCAAGAGUUUCAAAGUUAAGAAGUGCCAAUGUUAUGGUGGCCUAUGCAACUGUGAUUUGUUGCCUUUUGUGUAUUUGCAUUAUGAUGCACUAUUUAAUUGUAAUUAGAUCACACGCUGUUCUUUCGACAGGUUCCCAGCCUUGCUCAUUGUGCAGAAUAGACUGUGCUCACUAAGUAAUAAUUUUAUUUUCUCCUUGCUGUUCACUAUGUGGCCCAUGCUUUAUUUACUGCACGCUAUUCAAAUAUUGUUCUGAAGACAGAUUUAUUCAUUUCCUCCUGGGUUUCUGUGUGGUGCUCAUCACUAUGGUAUCCAAGUGCUUCACAAAUUCUAAUUCAUUUUCUCAACGCUGUUGCAAGAACUGGUAUCACCCAUGUUUUACAGAUGAAGAAUCUAGGCAUACAGAUGGAACAGUAAAAAAUAUCUUUUAAUUUUAGCUAUCCAAUUAGAAAUACUCAUGGCCUGAUUCUGUCAGAAAAUACAACGUGGCAAAGCUGAAUAAAACUUAGACAAAGUUGAAUAAAUUCUCAUUUACCACCAGUUCUAUCUGUUAGAGUUCUUCACUUCUGCAGAUAAGACUUCAAUAAGAAUGCCAAACCAGGCCCUAGGCCUUGCAGGCUGCACAACUAUUGCAUAGCAAACCUCUGUCUGGGGCACCAUCCUGAGGCUGCAGCGCUUUCCUGGAGCAGCACCCACCGGAGCCACAGCACGGUGCUUGCUUUUCCUGCAGUCCCCUGCAAGGUACAUAAAAUACCUACAUCUAAUUUUUAUAGGAAAUUAAGUUAUUUGGGCUUUUACUUUUGUUCCUUCACCUUGAUUCAGCAUCAGAGCCAGGCCUAUCUGUUUGCGCUGGCAACAUUUAUUCUGGUAUUUCAUAACUUGGGAGUGUUUUGUAGCCUAACUAAUGUUGCUUUAAUGUAGUUUGCCAUGUCUGUUUCUCUCUCGUAUAGAGGCAACCUUAAAAACAAAACAAAACCACAGCAAUGUAAUCCAUGUUAAACUGGUAUCUAUGUAGGCCAUCAGCAAUGUGGAAAUUUGCUCUGAAAGUGGAAAAAAAUAGCUUGGCUCUCCUGCACACAGUCCAGCACUGUAAGAGGGUGAUGAAUGCUCCCAGUGCAUCUCAGACUCUUGCUGCCAGUAGAUGUGACAGUUUUCCAGAUGGUCUUCAUUCCCAUUUUUCUCCUGCUCCUCUUCUGUUUCUGACUCUUCUCCCAGCAGGCUGGUUCCAGGCUUGUGCACGUGCUUCAUCCCUCCCUGCAGACAGAGCCCCUCUCCAGCCCAACUCCUUCCCAUUGCCCUGGAGAUCCUGUCUUUCUCCAGGCCCUUUGUGCCUGCCAACUUCCCCGACCCACUUCUCGUCCCACCGCACGUCCGGCAGGAGCAGGGAUCACAGCAGGAGAUCCCCACUCGCAUUGCUGGAAGCAGGGAGAGGACCAGAAGGACGGGUUCCCUGCUCAGCCUGGGUGCACUCAGACUUGGCAUGGAGCCGGGCAGCAGGGAACUGGAACGGCAGGUCUGGCUCUGCUCCCUGGGGCUGUGACUACUCUGCAAGCGUGAAACCGCUGCAGGAUGGCACUGGUGAACCCCACAAGCAACAGCAGCGUGCUCAGUAGGUUUUUCUACAGAGCUGUGAGGAAACGUCUCUCACAAGGUGACCCUUGUGCUUUGUAGGCCCAAAUAACCUUUUCCUCUGGCUUGACAGAAGGGAUGACGGCAGUUCUGAAGCAUAACCCAAGGUAUGAACUUUGGGUGCUCUCAGCACAACAACUGUCUGGUGCUAAUAAUGGUGACUGAAGAUGGGAUUUCACGAUGGGAACCGCUAACCAUCACGGCGACGCCUCCAGCCCCACCCGUUCUUCAGUCUGAGCCACAACCAAACCUCCUCAGGAGGAGACAACCCGCGGCUGGAACGCUCCAGGAUGCUGCCAGCGGAGGACAAACCCACAUCCUGACAGAACGCUGGACAAAAAGAUGUGGGUUUUUAGUGCGGGACGGCCGCUUUAUGGAAAGAUGCACCCCGCGAGCAGCGUUGCACUAUCACAGCGCCCCAGUAGCGCUGCCUAUCGCAGGGCUACCCUCUAAGAAAGAGAGCGCGACC